GCAAGGGAUUGCAGUUAACCUUCCAGCGGGACUAGAGGCCGGGGAAGGGGCCGCGUUCACACAGUUCCUCCGCUCCGGCUCUGACAGAUAAGGAAACUGAGACUUAAAGCAAGGAGGUGGCUUGCAGCAAGAUGAGGUGCAGACUGGACUGACGCCCAGUUUCUAAACUUGUCUUGCUGCAGAUGGAGAGAGUCUGCGAGGCUGCGCAGGUGCCCAGAUCACACUCUGAGUGGGCGGGGCCACCCUCUCGCUGUUCCAAAUGGACCAGCAGCACCGGCGGCACCUGGGAAUUUGCUAGAAAUGUAGCGUCUUCGGCCCCAUUCCAUUCCUGCUGAACCAGAGUCUGCUUUUUAACAGGCCACCAGGAGGAGUUCCUGUUGUGGCUCAGGAGAUUAUGAAUCCGACUAGUAUCCAUGAAGAUGCGGGUUUG